AGGUGAGUCUGUGCUAUUUCGCCGUGUCCAUUUUCCCGGAGUUUGCUGAUGCACCUAAUAAUUAAUUUUAAUGACGUAUCCACGUAACCGAGAAAUAAAAAAUUCACGUUGUUCGAAGGUCUAUUCUUGGUUGUCGCGUAAGCGUCCGCUUAUCCGCGUCGUUGCAUAUCGCGACCACGGGGGACAGGCACGUGUAACCGUGUGCACACGCAAGGAAAAAACGCAUGCCGCUCAUCUAUGUCGGCAUGCGUACAUAUACGCAUGCGCGGCGCAGCCAAUGCUUUGUGUCGGAAAUAUAGUCAAACAAUGCGAAAAGUGAACGGAGUCGCAUAACUUUGUCGUACAAUCCACGCUGUGCUUGUGCAAAAAUAUGUAACUCGAAGAACGAGGUUAAAACAUAUACGCGUCCCUCAAUCUAAUAUAUGUAAAUGUAGGCACCAAAAAGGGGACACCUGAAUGUUUUAUCAUUGACAACGCGAGAAUCUCGA